GACGCACGCUGGCGGCGCGCUUAACACAUGCAAGUCGAGCGAAGCGGCGGACGGGUGAGUAACACGUGAGUAACCUGCCUUAGACAUUGGGAUAGCCUCGGGAAACCGGGAUUAAUACCAAAUGGUCUAAGAUGGACUCGCGUCCCAUUACAUAGUGGGUGAGGUAACGGCCCACCACGGCGACAAUGGGUAGCCGGACUGAGAGGGUGAACGGCCACAUCUGAACUGAGAAACGGUCCAAACUAUACGGGAGGCAGCAGUGGGGAAUAUUGCACAAGGGAGGGAACUCUGAUGCAGCGAGGCCGCGAGAACGAAGACGGCUUUCGAGUUGUAAAGUUCUUUUAUAUGGGAAGCGGUACCAUAAGAAAAAGCCCCGGCUAACUACGUGCCAGCAGCCGCGGUAAUAC
rnacentral:rRNA from 1 species